rnacentral:rRNA from 1 species
UACGGAGGGUGCGAGCGUUGUCCGGAAUCAUUGGGCGUAAAGGGCGCGUAGGUGGUGGCUUAAGCGUGCGGUGAAAGCUCGGAGCUCAACUCCGAGUCGGCCGUGCGAACUGGGCUCACUGGAGCAUAGUAGAGGCAGGUGGAAUUCCGGGUGUAGCGGUGAAAUGCGUAGAGAUCCGGAGGAACACCAGUGGCGCAGGCGGCUCUCUGGGUCGGCCCUGACGCUGAGGCGCGAAAGCGUGGGGAGCGAACGGG